UACGUAGGGUGCGAGCGUUGUCCGGAAUUAUUGGGCGUAAAGAGCUCGUAGGCGGUCUGUCGCGUCGGUUGUGAAAGCCCGGGGCUUAACCCCGGGUCUGCAGUCGAUACGGGCAGGCUGGAGUUCGGCAGGGGAGACUGGAAUUCCUGGUGUAGCGGUGAAAUGCGCAGAUAUCAGGAGGAACACCGGUGGCGAAGGCGGGUCUCUGGGCCGAUACUGACGCUGAGGAGCGAAAGCGUGGGGAGCAAACAGGA
rnacentral:rRNA from 1 species